rnacentral:rRNA from 1 species
CGAGAUGCCCCCAGUAGCGGCGAGAGAACGGGGAGCAGCCCAGAGACUGAAUCAGUGUGUGUGUUAGUGGAAGCGUCUGGAAAGGCGUGCGAUACAGGGUGACAGCCCCGUACACAAAAAUGCACAUACUGUGAGCUCGAUGAGUAGGGCGGGACACGUGGUAUCCUGUCUGAAUAUGGGGGGACCAUCCUCCAAGGCUAAAUACUCCUGACUGA